rnacentral:lncRNA from 1 species
AUGAUAAUCCCCUAUGUCUUAGAGCUUGAAACAGGGAAAGACCCUCAGAGACGUCAGAGCUGUGGAGAGAAGGAAAGGCAUGUAGCUCCAGGUUGGAUCGACCAUUGGGCCAGCCUAUUCAUCAGGAGUUGUCACCAGAGACCUCUGGAUCACGUGGCUGUGACCCAUGACUCCGGAGAGGCUGUGAGGUGGAGAAACAAGCUCCAAGAGGUCUCAGGCAGUGACGCUCUGCACCACGAGUAAGGAUUUAAUCUCUGCUGCUUUCCAGAAGGCACUGAGGCUGUUUUGUCAGUAUAGCCAAUGCUUGUGUGUGUGAGUGCCUUGGUGUAAGUAUGGAGGCAAAAGGGAGCUGGAAGUUUACCGAAAAAAGUGGAAAAUGGACGAAAAAAGGGUGAGAAUACCUAGAGAAGUUAGGCAAAAGUGUGAUUCUGUGCAGCAAAAUCGGCCCAUGUGCCAUAGGAUGACAGUAUGAAAUGAACAGCUAUAAAAUGUGCUACAGAGUUCCCACUGUAGUGCAGUGAGUUAAGAAUCUGACUGCAGUGGCUCGGGUUGCUGCAGAGGGGCGGGUUUGUUCCCGGCCGGGCUCAGUGGAUUAAGGGAUCCAGCGUUUCUGCAACUGUGGUGAUAGAUGCAACUGCGGCUCGGAUUCAGUCUCUGGCCUGGAAACGUCCAUAUGCUGUGGGUGCAGCCAUAAAAAUAUAUAUGUAUGCUACACUUCAUGAUUUCUCAAAAGAUGGUCAAUGAAAAUUCUUUGGUUGGCAUCCUAGCCACCACUAAGCAUUACUUUUAGCAUAUAUUGUAGUCAGUACACGGAGUAACAAUAAGUCACAACUUUGAGAUAAAGUUAACCUCUAGGACUAAUGAGGAAGCACUAAAAGAUAAUGAGUGAAGUCAGUAAAUUAUUGACUAGGGAGAUAAAGAUGCCCUAAUUUAAUCAAUGCAUUACAUCAGGACAUCUGUAUUAACUUAUCUGAGGCUGACCAUAAUAGGUGUUAUUAACCUGGAGGAAUAGGAAUCAAUUAUAUUUGUGCUUUAUCUAGGGAAGGAUGACUGUUAAUAGGAGGGGAGGGCAGAAUACCACCCUCACAAGCAAGGAGUUAGCAGGAAUUUGGUAAGGUUGGGGGUGGAGGAGGAGGUAACUGGCAGUCAGUGAAGUCCCUAUUAUGGGCCAGGAUGCUUCAUCAGGUGUUAUGGCACCUGGGAAUCCCUGUGCCCUGAUUUCAUGCACUUCAAGCAGCCUCUAAGGGACCUGGAAAACUGGAAGGGGCUAUUGAGAUUGGAGUAAAUGUCUUUGGAAGGAUCUAACCCCCUUAUAAAUUAACAAACUACCUUCUGGUUUAGAUUUCAGGUCUUUAAGGAUAGCUGGAGUGAGUCUGUCUCCUAUGAUGCAACCAAUUCUAAGGGUCCUGGGUCAGCCAAGCAGAACCCCGAUCUUUAAAUGUGAUGAGCAUGCCAAGGCUCUUUGUCCAUUUUGACUGUCUCCAGUGGACAGCCAGGCUUCUUGGAUCACAGCUCUGCUGAUCUCCCAUAGUGGAAGACGGACAGGGGACAUGGUGCUUUUUUCUUGUAUUUAAAUGAAUCAUUUCUUGUGGCAUGCAGGGUAGUAGCCUGGUUCAAGGGCAGAUGCAGCCCCACACUGGGACUGGAGAGAAUAGGGGUUCUUGUCUUGGUGUCACCUCUAGCCACAUUUUUGAUAUUUCAAACUAGUUAACCUCAGCCUAGGUUUCCUCAUCUAUACAGAGAAGGCAUUCCACUAUAAGCUCCUUAUAAUUUGCCCAAGGUCACCAAGCUGAUUGCUACCGUCUGGACCUCUACUCCAUUACUCUUCUCCUACUUUACUUCUCUCUGUAAAUUUGGGAGCAGAGUGUGGGUUGGUGGGAGCAGGAGAGUCUCCAGGGAGUAGUGAGAUAGCUUAAAGUGGAUUUCCCUUCUUAACUGGUUGGAAUCAAGGUAGAUUACGCACAGACUUUUGUUACCUACAUGAAGGCCUCAUAAAUCAAGAACCAUUUCAGUAGUUCCUGUUGUGGCUUCGUGGGUUAAGAACCUGGCUAGUAUCCCUGAAGACUCUGGCGGGUUUGAUCUCUGGCCUUGCUCAGUGGGUUAAGGAUCCAGUGUUGCCAUGAGCUGCAGUGUUGGUUCAGACGCAGCUAAGAUCUGGCAUUGCUAUGUCUGUGGUGUAGGCCUGCAGCUGCAGCUGCAAUUCGACCCCUAGCCUGGGAACCUCCAUAUGCUGCAGGUGUGGCCCUAAAAAAAGAAGAAAAGAGAACCUAAGUAAUAUUACCAUUUCUCUUAAACAGAGUAUAACACUGUAAAGAGAGGAUAGGACUUUAGGAUCAAAUAAACAUGAGUUCUAAUCUGUUUUUCACUUAUUAGCUGAGUGGCCCUCAGCUACUACUCACUUAACUCUUCUGAGUUUGCUGGAACUUCCACAUGCUGCAGUUGCAGAUGUAAAAAGAACCAUUUUAACGACACCUCAGUCUCUGAACCCCCUUCAUCUCCCUGGACACAUAUGGAGAAUGAUAAUGAUAGAAAAUUAUACUUGCCUACUACAGGCUGGGUAAAUGUGAGGAGCUACCCAUGGCCACCCCAAGGGAUGAGGGACCCACUAUGUUGGCCCCACCUGUAACCCUUUUGCCCAAAUACACUAACUGGCAUGCUGUGCAACAAGCCCUCUCAGACCAGGGUCUACUAGGAAUUAAAACUAGGUUAAGGGAGUUCCCAUCGUGGCUCAGUGGGUUAAUGAUCCGGCGUUGCCAGGAGUUGUGGUGUAGGUUGCAGACACGGCUCGGAUCCCGCGUUGCUGUGGCUCUGGCGUAGGCCGGUGGCUACAGCUCCGAUUCGACCCCUAGCCUGGGAACGUCCAUAUGCCUCGGGAGCGGCCCAGGAAAUAGCAAAAAGACAAAAAAAACCAACAACAACAACAACAACAACAAAAACUAGGUUAAGUUAUCUCCUCUUCUUGGGAUCUAAUUCUGACUGUUAGAAUAAUUUUUUCUCACCCAGAACUAGAGAUGAGGGUCCUGGCCUCCCUUUGUCCUCUGUUACACGGUGAUCAUUUAUUGUACAAAGCACUGCAGGUAGGAAAGAACUUGCUUCCUUGGUUUGGUGUCUCUCCGUAAAGGGAGGACACAUUCUGUGGACAGUAUUGCUUAUUUUGUUGUUGCUUAUUUCUACAUUUAUCAGGCCUAUUGUCUUCUUUCAGUAUGAUUUAUUUAAUGGCAUAGUAUGCUUUGUUCCUUUAUGAUUAAUGUCCUAACAGAUGGUCUAGAAGCCAACUUCCAUCCUUCAAUAUGUUCUAUCAAUCUCUUGUAUGUACCAUGGAAAACAGAGUCAUCCUUAUAAAGUCUUUUCCAAUAAUAUACUCAAAAUUUUAGGUCCCACCUCCAAAUCUCAUCAUUUUGCAUUGUUUAUAGAUAAUAACUUACUUGAAUGCUACUGUUCUAACAGCAAAGAUGUAAGAUCAGUAUAAAUCAGUCUAGUUAGUAUAUUUUUUCUUGUUUACU